UAAUUAGUAGUAAAUUUGUAAGGGUAGCAAUUUUUUGUAGGAUGGUGUAUAAACUUUAGUUGCAUGUUAGUAAAAAAUUGUACGAAUUUGAACAGCAUGUAUAUUGGUGCUGCACUUCGUGGGAAGUGGAAGUACCUUGCUUUUCCAUACGAAUGCUAAUAACAAAAUAAGACUACUGAGUUGUCGGUUAGAAUAAUAGAGAUAAUUUUUUUUA